CCCUAGUAACGCGAGUGAAGCGGCAGCAGCCCAGAUUUGGAAUCUGGCCCCCUUGCGGGGCCCGAGUUGUAAUCUGCAGAGGAAGCGUCUGGCGCGGCGCCGGCCUAGUUCCCUGGAACGGGACGCCGUAGAGGGUGACAGCCCCGUACGGUCGGCCGCCAAGCCUGUGUGUCGCUCCUUCGAAGAGUCGCGUAGUUUGGGAAUGCUGCGCAAAGUGGGAGGUAUGCUCCUCCUAAGGCUAAAUACCGGCCAGAGACCGAUAGCGCACAAGUAGAGUGAUCGAAAGAUGAAAAGUACCUUGAAAAUGGGGUUAAACAGUACGUGAAAUUGCCAAAGGGGAAGCGCUCGUGGCCAGACUCGCGCCCGGCGGAUCAUCCGGCUCUCCCGCCGGUGCACUCUGCCGGGCUCGGGCCAGCGUCGGUCGGCGCCGGUACUGAAAGGCGGUGCGAACGUGGCUCCCUUCGGGGAGUGUUAUAGCGCGCCGCGUAAUGUGCUGGUGCCGUCCGAGGACCGCGCUUUAUGCAAGGACGCUGGCGUAAUGGCCACUAGCGGCCCGUCUUGAAACACGGACCAAGGAGUCGCCCAGAGGCGCGAGUGUGCGGGUGACAAACCCCUGCGCGUAGUGAAAGCGAACGCUGGUGGGAGCCCUCACGGGCGCACCACCGACCGAUCCUGAUGUCUUCGGAUGGAUUUGAGUAUGAGCGUCUCUGGUCGGACCCGAAAGAGGGUGAACUAUGCUUGGGUAGGGUGAAGCCAGAGGAAACUCUGGUGGAGGCCCCGUUUGGGUUAAACGUGCAAAUCGAUCCAUAAACCUGGGCAUAGCGGCGAAAGACUAAUCGAACCUUCUAGA
rnacentral:rRNA from 1 species